GCUACCUAUUGGUGUUAGGAAGUCUUAUUUUAAAUUUGAAGACAGUGUUUUCACUUUCUAUCUUGUGCACUGACUACCUCAUGACCCCUUAGGUACCAGUCAGGACUGGCAGACUUUAAUGUGGAGAACUUCUGAAACAGCAGUUCUCAAAAUGUUAUCUGCAUCACCCAGGAACUUGUAACCAUGCAAAUUACCAGCCACCCAGACUUACUGGAUCAUAAACUGUGGGGCCCAGCAGCCUGUGUUUUAACAAGCCCUUCAGGUGAUUCUGACACUUGCUUAAGUUUGAGAACCGCUGUUCCAGGAGCUGGUCCUGCAGGGAAAGGGCGGCCUCUCAGUUCAGGCUGGAGUAUAGUGGCAGGAUCAUAG
rnacentral:lncRNA from 1 species